UCCCCAAGACAUUAAUACUUCAUUCUGCUAUCUAUUUUGAUUUCUUCUUCUGUGAAUCAAAUCUUCAAUCUGGAUUUCUUGACCAAAUUCUUACCGAGGCAAAAGCAUGGCGAUCCAGUUCUUCUCCCCUCAGAUAAGUAGUAUCUCCUUUCUCAAGCGGAUUUUUUGCUAAUCUGUGAGCAUAUGAGUUCUCCGUUCUUUGAAUAUACUGAAAAUUGAGUUCUUGAAAAUCAGAUUUCUUGUUUUGAAUAUCUCUGAUAAUGGCUCCGAUUGCUGAUUUGCCUGUGGAAGUCUCCUGACAUUUUCUUAUUACUGUUCUUGAAUCCCCCAUAAGUUUUACUGAUUGGGUUCUUAGUGAAAUCCCUAGCUUUGUACCAUCUAAACAUGCAAAUGCCUCUACCGCGAAGGGAGAAGGAACAUUUCUAUGGAUAACCGUCUUUAACACCAUUAAGUUUCCCCUCAGAUCCCAUCCUACCAUUCCGGAUGCUGAUCUGAAAGUUUUGUUGUCGUACGCAGCAUCAAAAUGGAUCCUGACUCUCGAACCAUAUCCACCAUAACGCAUAACAGAAAAGUAGACAUUGGCCGCUGUUGCUCCUCUUGAAAACCCAGUUGUCAUAGGGCAAUCUCGGAAGACGUGGAGGCUUCCUUCAACUUCAAAUCUGCAUCGGGGGCAUCUGUCAUUUGUAGCAACUCUACUGAUUCUGAGAUUAGCAAAGUUUGGAAUAAAAUCCCAAGAGAUCCUCUAGAUUGUAAAUGCAAUUUUUGAUGGCAUCUGUAGGCUCCAAAGUUUCUUGUAAAAUUCUUUUGUUUCGGUCUAUAAUAAAUAGUUUCUAGGAUCCAGAUUAGCAUCUUCUAAUAGUUUAUAGGCACUGCGGAUUGAAAAUUCGCCAGAUAAUUCUCCUUUCCAAACCUGGAAAUCCUCAUGUUCAAUCUCUGCAAGGGGAAUCUGAAGAAUUUUCCGAGCAAUGUCCUCUUGAAAGGUAUU